CCGCCCCACCCCACUCACAUCCUGUCUCUCUCUCUCUCUCUCUCUCUCUCUCUCUCUCACAAAAACAAAUCAACAUUUUAAAAAAGGUCAUUUUUUUUUCUUCCUUGCAGGUACUAUAUUGUUCCAUGCCUUCUUGCCUAUAUCGUGCAGUUUCUAUUUAUGGAAUUGUUUUCUCCAGUCUUUAUCUCCAGUUAAUUCAUAGCAAAUAAUUCUCAAAUAUUGCUAAAGCUUUGCUUCAGUUACGAAGACUUCAAAUAGGUAGGCUGGCAUGAGGAUCAAGGCUACAGAGAAAGGGAGAGCACAAUGAAACCAGGAGAGCUGUGGCAAUGCAGCCCGUUUGAGUGCACACGAACCACCGUGAAGAUAAACAACAAAGACUCUCAAACUUCUGACUUCCCGGACUCAGCCAUCUGGUUCCUUCUUCAUAUUAUCUCUCAAAGUGGACUUUUACUUGGCAGAUCUUCAACAUAUUUGAAUAACCUGGACUAUUUGUUUAUUGCUUUCUUCCACUAUUGAUUUAUCUAAUUGCUUCCACUCAAUUUUACUCAGCUUCAGUUUUUUGGGUAGAAGUGAGUGUGGUUGUAGAGUUUCUGUUGUUUCAUUUCCAUUGUAUGAAUCAAUGGCUAAAGAUUGUCAUUUUUCUCAAUUGCGUCACUAGGUUUAGGUGGUUUCUGCGAAGACUUUGUGUUUUAAAAGUACUUGUUUUCUUUCAUAAAUAAGAAGUGCCAAUUGGUAUGAAUUCUUUGGACCUCCAGACUGCUAGUUCCUCUUCCCCAACAAAUGUUCACCAAUUAUUUCAGCAUGAAUUAAGGAUCCUUCUCAGAAUAAAUGACUUCAUUGAAAAUUCCAAAUUGCUACUUCCUGUUCUAUCAUUUCUCCUAUAUUUAUUGAGAAUCAAUCUGGCGUAAAAGAUCUUUGUUUACAUUCAUUCUCUCCUUCUCCCUUUGUCUCUUUCUGUCUCUGUCCCCCCCCAACCCUUCUUUCUCUCUCUCUCCUCUUUUCCAUUACCCUUACUCACCAUAUUUAUAAAUAUAAAUAAAUAAAUAAAUAAAUAAAUAAAUAAAGACACCUGUGAGGCUCACUCCGUUAAGCAGACAAUUCUUGACUUUGGCUCGUGUCAUGAACUCACGGUACACGAGCUUGAGACUCGUAUUGGGCUCUGUGCUGACACUGGAGAGUUUGCUUGGGAUUCUCGCUCUCCUUCUCACUCUGCCCUCUCCUGCUUGUGUUCUCUCUCUCUCUUUCUCAAAAUAAAUAAAUAAACAUUAAAAAAACAAAAAAAUGCAAUCAGUAAUAUGAUCAUCCCUGUACUUUGUCAAAAUUCAAUACCCAUUAACACAUGAGAAUUAAUGAAUACUUCUUUAACCUGACAUCAUACAUUAAAGUAGGAAGGAUGAACAUAGUGCACUUAGGAGAUCUGGCUUUGGAGUCAGGAGGUUCUAAAUGUGCCCCAGUUCCAAAAUUUACUAGUGCUGUCACAUUGGGAAAUAAAGAAAACCUCUGUUCCUCAAUUACUUCAUUGGGGAGAUGAGUUAAUAGAUCUUUAAAUGUGGUGCAGUGCAUGGCACAUAGUAAUGUUUAAUAAAUAUUAGCUAAUAUCAUUACUAUUAUUAUUGCUAUCAUUAUCAUUAUUAUUAUUAUUAUUAUUAUUUCUUUAGGGAUUAUCUCAAAAGAGGACAUGAUUUGGAGUACUUAAUUAAAUUAGUCCUAUCUUUGAUAUAAAAAGUAUUUGAGCCAAUGACAAGUAAACUCCUUCUGAAAUAUAAUAGUCAGCAAUGUGUCCAGGGAUUUCAAAUUCCCUCCCAAGCCCUCUGUGAACAAGGGAGACCUGGCUUUUCCCUGAAAGACAGGAAGCAGGAAAUGCACAAGUCAAAUCUGAAACCUGGACUCAGAUUGGAGCUGCUGAUGUUAAUGUUGAGCCCGCACUGCUAGGAUGUGGCCUUCAGACAUGAACCUGGUAAGAGUCGCUCCCCUGAAAUGGUAAAUGGGGAGGGAAAGGGUACAAAAGUGAUCAAGGAGGAGAAACGGAUGCCAUGGCACCACGUGAAAUAUGGAGUUACAGAGAAGAAGAAUUCCAGGACUUCUGAGGCAAAGGAUCUUGUGGCAGAGGUUAAGGAGCCACAAGAGGAUUGUUUUAGGAAUUCGGGUGAUUUCUGUCUUUUGUUGUUGUUGUUGUUGUUGUUGUUGUCAUCCACGCAAAGAAAGAGUUUUAUUGUUUUCAUAGAUGCAUUAGGCUAUAAAAUUAACAUACUAAAAUACAUGGAAGCAACCUAAAUGCCCAUCAGCGGAUGAAUGGAUAAAAAAAAAAAAAACGCAUGAUAUACAUAAACUAUUCAAUUUUAUUCCACCUCAAAAUAGAAAGAAACGCUACCGUAUAUGACACCAUGGAUGAACCUGAGGAUAUAACGCUAAGUAAAAUCAGAUAGUCACAGAAGGAUAAACGCUGCAUGAAUCCACUCAUAUGAAAUAUCUAAAAUAGUCAAACCGAGAGUGCAGUGGUGGAUGCCAAGGGCUGGGGCAGAGGGAAAUGAGUUGUCUUCAAUGGGUAUAAAAUUUCAGUUAUACAAUGUGAACACAUUCUAGAGGGGUUGUACAACUUACUGCUUAUGUUUAUCAGUACUGUAUUGUCCACUUAAAAAUUUG